CUUUGAGAUGCUGAUAUUCU
rnacentral:piRNA from 1 species